AGAGUUUGAUCCUGGCUCAGAGUUAACGCUGGCGGCGUGCCUAACACAUGCAAGUCGAGCGGAGUUACAGCUGUAGCAAUACAGUUUGUGCUCAGCGGCAGACGGGUGAGUAAUACGUAGACAACCUUCCUCUUAGAGGGGGAUAGCCCGCCGAAAGGCGGGGUAAUACCGCGUACGAUCAAGGGUCGGCAUCGAUCUUUGAUGAAACAUCCGCAAGGAUGGCUAAGAGACGGGUCUACGGCCUAUCAGCUAGUUGGUGAGGUAACGGCUCACCAAGGCUAAGACGGGUAACCGGCCUGAAAGGGUGGACGGUCACACUGACACUGAGACACGGGUCAGACACCUACGGGUGGCAGCAGUGAGGAAUCUUGGACAAUGGGGGCAACCCUGAUCCAGCGACGCCGCGUGAAGGAUGAAGGUCUUCGGAUUGUAAACUUCUUUUCUUUGGGAAUAAUAAAUCGGUAGAAAUAUCGAGAUUGAAUGUACCAGAGGAAUAAGCCACGGCUAACUUCGUGCCAGCAGCCGCGGUAAUACGAAGGUGGCAAGCGUUACUCGGAAUUACUAGGCGUAAAGGGCAGGUAGGCGGUUUAAUAAGUCUGUUGUGUCAGCUCCUGGCUUAACUGGGAGAGGUCAACGGAAACUAUUAGGCUUGAGUGUAGGAGAGGAUACUGGAAUUCCUGGUGUAGCGGUGAAAUGCGCAGAGAUCAGGAGGAACACCAAUGGCGAAAGCAAGUAUCUGGACUAUUACUGACGCUAAGCUGCGGAAGCUAGGGGAGCAAACAGGAUUAGAUACCCUGGUAGUCCUAGCUGUAAACGAUGCACAUUAGACGUGGGGGGUAUCGACCCCCCCCGUGUCGACGCAAACGCAUUAAAUGUGCCGCCUGGGGAGUACGGCCGCAGGGUUGAAACUCAAAGGAAUUGACGGGGGCCCGCACAAGCGGUGGAGCAUGUGGUUUAAUUCGACACAACGCGAAGAACCUUACCUAGGCUUGAACUGCUGGUAGUAAAAUCUAUGAAAGUAGAGAUGAACCGUAAAGCCGGAUGCCAGUAGAGGUGCUGCAUGGCUGUCGUCAGCUCGUGUCGUGAGAUGUUGGGUUAAGUCCCGCAACGAGCGCAACCCCUAUCCUACGUUGCCAUGUCCGGUAAGGACGGAACUCUUAGGAAACUGCCUCGGAUAACGGGGAGGAAGGUGGGGAUGACGUCAAGUCCCCAUGGCCUUUAUGUCUAAGGCUACACACGUGCUACAAUGGCCGGUACAACGAGCAGCAAAUCCGCAAGGACGAGCAAAUCUCUAAAAGCCGGCCCCAGUUCAGAUCGUGGGCUGCAAUUCGCCCACGUGAAGGUGGAAUCGCUAGUAAUCGGAGAUCAGCUGGCUCCGGUGAAUACGUUCCCGGGCCUUGUACACACCGCCCGUCACACCACGAAAGUUGGUUGCAACCA
rnacentral:rRNA from 1 species